UUUGUACUUUGUAUAUCUCAAUUUUUCUACCAUUCAAAUUUACAUGGUUAAGCAUAAUUUAUUUGGUUAACAACCGACUGCAAGAACAUCGAAAGGGAGGACUUGACAGGUCAUCAUUGAAGAUGCCAAGUGGACGUGGAUGAGUGUCUCCGAUCCAUCUCAUCACGCCGUGUGGAUGAAUGUCUACGUUACAAAUCAGCUACACACCUACCUGUUCUUGCUGAGGUCUCGAAUACCAUCGUUACAAGUACUAAGAGAUUUUUUUCGACUGGAACAAGUACUAAGAGAUUAUGAUACAGAAUUUAUGAAUAGAACGUUAACAAUUAAGGAAGGCAGAUGUCGGUAGAGUACCACUGCCUGACCCUUGCGGUGUCUUUGUCCUUAGCAGGCAACAAUGGCUUUGUGCAGCAGCCUAUAUAUGCACACGUACGUAACAGUACGUUAUCUUAGCUUUCUAUUAUAGCACCUGGCUCGUUCAUUUCUCUCUAGCUCCGAGUGUACACUUCAAUGGCUUCUAAGUCCCAAGAGAACUACAUCGAUGGAGGACUUGAAGAGAGAAGAAGAUGGUGAUGAACAGUUCAGCUACAUGCUCUUCUUACCAGAGAAGGGAAGCCUCUGGGACUUGUUUAGGUACGCCGUUUUGGGGGACAUAGACAAUGGGGCUCAGUUCUCAGUUCCUGGAGAGCUCGGAGAAAGAGAUGGUGGCAUGCGUGGCUCAAGAGCUUAGAUGGGGCAUGGUGGUCAUCCUAGCAUUCCGCAAAUUCGCAGCUCUUUUUGGGAAGUCAUUGAAUUUGAGUGGCAACGUUGUCGACUUCCUUCUGAACUUGCUCUCUCUCAAUGGGAACCUCUUUGGCUUGCUUUGCAAUCUUCUCCAUGGUAACUAAAGAUAAACCCUUUUACAACUAUUUUAUGUCAUCACUUAUGUUUUGGUUGUGCUUCACUACUAAGCAUGGAUAUAGUUCAAAAAUGGUUCCCUUUUGGAAUUCUUUGUUCAUACAUUCUAUUAAGAAGUUGUGUGACUUGUGUCUACUUACAUAGUUACAUAUGCAUUCAUCCAUGCUAAUGAGUAAGCAGGAACAGUGGUAGUGCCGCAGAGGGGUACCGCGAAUUUUGUUAGUAUAAAUGGUCAUCUGGAUGGGCGGAUAGAUCUGUCCAAGAAGGGUGACAGCUUAGUAGAAGACAUAGUUGCUUCUGAUAAAUCUGAAGAAUCAAGAAUGCAAUCACAAAUGGGAAACCCUGCUCUUAUGGAGCUCACCAUUAUGGCUGCCUGACUUGGCUCAUAAACUCGCAAGCGUAUGAAUCUUGUCAAGUAAGGGAAAUAUUUAGACCUUAGUUAUCGUACCACGAGGAUUAGGUUGGACCUAACCAAGGUAAUCGGCUUAAGAAUACUAAAAGGCACACAAGAAAAAUAAAAUAAAGACAAAGAAAACUAUAAACAAACACUCAAGGCACCAAGCCUUGGCAAUGCUCGGCCUAGCUCACACUAAGCCUAAUCAAAACCACUAACUUGUACCUUAAGGGUGGUUAUGCACAAAUGAGUUGAUAGUUGAAAAGAAAUUGAAUUGGGGAUUAACUAAAUUAAUGCAAACUACAAUGAAAAGUAAACAACUAACUAACAAGUUAGAAAGUAAAUUUGGUUUUUCAAAUCAAUGGGGACAUGGGAAUGGUCUUGAGGCCAACCUCAUAAAUACAUGCAUUCCCUAAUGUGUCAAGUCUCAUAUCUAAUGCCGGUCAAGUCUCAUAUCUAUCCUUGAGGCCAACCUCAUAACCCUCUUGUAAAUAUUGACGCCAACCUCAUAAAUACAUGCAUUCCCUAAUGUGUCAAGUCUCAUAUCUAAUACCGGUUAGGGCUACUAGACCAAUUAUCCUUACGGUGUAUCGAUUAUGCCGGUUAAGGCCACAAUCAACUCUCUAAUAUAGGCACUACGCCGGUUAAGGCUGCAAUAUCUAAAUUAGAGGCCUAGAGUGCAAGAUAAUAGAGACCCAAGCAAGCUUAGCUACAAUUAAGCUAGCUAAUGGUUACCAUGCUCAAAUCCUAGAUGCCACAAGACUAACAAGUAGUCAACUCAUUAUUUUACUCAUCACAAUUGCUCACAACAUAAUUUCAAAAGGUGACUAGGCCUAGAAACAUGCUUCUAAGGACCAAUAAAAAUUGCCUACACAAUGAAAAUUGUAUGUAUUAUAAUUAAAGCAUCAAUGUCAUUACAAGAUGGGUUAGGGCUUCACAACCCUAACUCCCAAAGUCAAACUACUCACUACCCAUUAGCAAAUACAUCAUCCAAUACAUGAGAAAUGAAGAGAAAGGAUAGAGAAGAGAGAAACACAAGCUAGGUUCACCAAUUGCUAUGAGCAAGUAUGAACCACUUGAAAUUGAGUUUCCUCUCUUUACCAAACUUAAAUCUCCUUGUGUUGGUGAAGCCUUGAUGCUUGUUGGUGAGAGCCCUUCUUAAUCCCUUUUGAAGAUGAAAAUGGUCUUGAGGAGAAUGGUGGCCUUGAGGUGAAUGGAAGAGAAUGGUGAAGGGGUGCGGCUGUGUUUGUGAAGAAGAAAGAAGAGAGGAUAGAAUGAGAUGGUCCCCUAGGUCUCGGUGAGGCUGGUUUUGAUGAAGAGGAGCAGCUGCCACGUGACGCAAGCUGAAUGGAGGAGAGGACAAAAAGGAUGAAGCUUUGUGCUGCACGGUUGCACAAGAUUUGUUCACCUCAAUUAAUCAUACAAUGAUCAAUUAAUGAUUAAUUAGCUUAACGAAACUCCAGCUCUCUUUAAUUUCAAAUCCAUGUGCUUCAAUUUUGCUCAAAUAUCACCAUUUUCUAUCCGAAAUCCAAAUUUCCACUUAUUUUUUACAAAUAAAUAAAAUUAGAUUAAUUACAUUAUAAUUAACUUAAAGAUUAGUUAAAUCCUAACGUUAAAGUAGUAAUUACGUAUAUAUAAAUGCACGUAAUCACUGCCAAGUUAGCAUAUGAGAAUGCCAAACUCAUCAGAAGAAUCGUUAAUGAUGAUUGGGAGGCAAGCUAUUCUACUCUUGUUCUGUUUCUCCAUUUUACAUCUUUACAAUAGAUAGUACUUACUAGUUCAUGCAUUAACGGUUUUUCUGAUCACUUUGGC
rnacentral:lncRNA from 1 species